AUGGAGUUGGGAGAACUGCUGUGUAACAACUCCGAGUACAUAGAGACAGUGUCUGGGAACAAAGUUAGUCUCCAGUCUGGUUUGUGUGGAAGCCAGAACAUUGUUCUCAAUGGCAAGACCAUUAUAAUGAAUGACUGUAUCAUCCAAGGAGACCUGGCAAACGUAGGAGUUGGACGUCACUGUGUUGUGAAAAGCCGUAGUGUCGUAAGGCUGCUGUUCAAAACAAUUCAGCAAAGGUGUUGUAUUCUUUCCCCUGCAUAUUGGGGAUCGUGUCUUUAUUGAGGAAGACUGUGUGGUCAAGGCUGCCCAGAUUGGUUCUUGUCCACACUGGGAAGAACUGUGUGAUUGGGCGCCAUUGUGUCUUGAAAGACUGCUGCAAAAUUCUUGACGAUACGGUGUUACCUCUAGAAACUGUCAUCCCCCCAUUCAUUGUCUUCUCCAGCUGUCCAGGACUCUUCUCACGGUGAUUGAUGUCACCAAAAGCUAUUACCAGAAGUUUCUAUCCCUACCACAAGUCUAA
rnacentral:lncRNA from 1 species